CGCCUCUUGCUAAAUAAGAAUAGGAGGUCCCGCCUGCCCUGUGACUAUGUUUAACGGCCGCGGUAUCCUGACCGUGCAAAGGUAGCACAAUCACUUGUCUUUUAAAUGAAGGCCCGUAUGAAUGGCAUCACGAGGGCUUAACUGUCUCCUUCUCUAAGUCAAUGAAAUUGAUCUUCCCGUGCAGAAGCGGGAAUAAAAAUAUAAGACGAGAAGACCCUAUGGAGCUUUAGAUCAUUAGCUGACUUAUGUUAAUAAACCCAGACAAAGAAUAAAACCAAAUAAAAAUCCGCUAAGUGUCUUCGGUUGGGGCGACCACGGAGUAUAAAUAAACCUCCGAGAAGAAAAAUUUUCCAUGAUUCUAGAACAUCCGUUCUAAACACCAAAACAUUUGACCUUAAGAUCCGGCAAGAACCGAUUAACGAAACCAGUUACCUAGGGAUAACAGCGCAAUCCUUUUCAAGAGUCCCUAUCGACAAAAGGGUUUACGACCUCGAUGUUGGAUCAGGACAUCCUAAUGGUGCAGCAGCUAUUAAGGGUUCGUUU
rnacentral:rRNA from 1 species